rnacentral:rRNA from 1 species
AGAGUUUGAUCCUGGCUCAGGACGAACGCUGGCGGCGUGCUUAACACAUGCAAGUCGAACGGUGAAGUCCCUUCGGGGGCGGAUCAGUGGCGAACGGGUGAGUAACACGUGGGCAAUCUGCCCCUCACUGUGGGAUAACUCCGGGAAACCGGGGCUAAUACCGCAUAUGAAGCCUGGCGGCAUCGCCGGGUUUGGAAAGUUUUUCGGUGAGGGAUGAGCCCGCGGCCUAUCAGCUUGUUGGUGAGGUAAUGGCUCACCAAGGCGACGACGGGUAGCCGGCCUGAGAGGGCGACCGGCCACACUGGGACUGAGACACGGCCCAGACUCCUACGGGAGGCAGCAGUGGGGAAUAUUGGGCAAUGGGCGAAAGCCUGACCCAGCGACGCCGCGUGCGGGA